rnacentral:rRNA from 1 species
GACGAACGCUGGCGGCGUGCUUAACACAUGCAAGUCGAACGGUGAAGCGCCUUCCUUUUUAGUGGGUGUGGAUGAGUGGCGAACGGGUGAGUAACACGUGAGUAACCUGCCCCCUUCUUCUGGAUAACCGCAUGAAAGUGUGGCUAAUACGGGAUAUUCUGGGUCUGUCGCAUGAUGGGUCUGGGAAAGAUAUUGUUUCGGUGGGGGAUGGGCUCGCGGCCUAUCAGCUUGUUGGUGGGGUGAUGGCCUACCAAGGCGGUGACGGGUAGCCGGCCUGAGAGGGUGGACGGUCACACUGGGACUGAGACACGGCCCAGACUCCUACGGGAGGCAGCAGUGGGGAAUAUUGCACAAUGGGCGCAAGCCUGAUGCAGCGACGCCGCGUGAGGGAUGGAGGCCUUCGGGUUGUGAACCUCUUUCGCCAGUGAAGCAGGCCUGCCUCGUUUGUGGGUGGGUUGACGGUAGCUGGAUAAGAAGCGCCGGCUAACUACGUG